CAGAGAGCUUGCUAAAAAGGAGACCGAGCAGCUUCGGGGCAGCGGGCGAAUCUGGGAGCUGUGCAGGGCCGGCGGCAGGAAGGGCAGGAGCAAGUAAUGAGAAUUCCAUGCUUCCAAACUACCACUGGAGAUUGAAUUCACGACUUCAACUCUACAGGCUUUGGGUCCAUCGAUCACAUGGCUGCUCAUUCUCUACUUCUCUGAGAUCCUAAAAGGGCUAUAUAGCUUUAUAAUAGCCCAAUUUACCUAAAGCUAAAGAACAGUAUUUCAAGCACCAACAGAGAAGUCCCUAAAAUUUUAGAUACUGAAGAAUACACACCAGAGUGAAGUUUCUGGGAGAACCUGCCUCCCAGGUGUCAGACACCUUUGAUCACAUGCAGUUUCUCUUAAGAAGAUAUGGAACAGGUCACCAAGGGUUCCUAUUGUAAUAUUUCAUCCUAAGGCUUUUCAAGGAUUGGUGUCAGUGACUAUGAGAAAUGAAAAACCCUGCCAUUGAAAUCCUAAGAGCUGGUGGAAGCAAACAAAAUCUUGAACAAUGUAAGCGUGAGAAAUGCAGGGGACGGGGCUGCUCGCAUAAUCAGAAGUCUUCUUUUUCUUAUGUUGUCUGUCUACAGAAGUUUCCAGCACUGCUUCCAUUUGAAUGCUAACAUUUUUCAGGGGUUCUGUUGCUCCCCUGGGGUGCCUGGUGGUGGAGGGGAGAAGGGAGAAGGGGGAUAAAAUCAGAGCAGUGGAAAAGCCGCAGAUGGAGGAAGGGGUGGCGGAGUCAGGAGACGGAAGCCCUACCAGCCAUAUCCCUUGUGACUUAGGGAGUAUGCCAUGGUGGUACAGUCAAUGCCAGCCCAGAGCCAAAGCUGCCUGUAGCAGCAGGAAACAUUCUGACUCAGUAGGCAGAAUUUCCCGACAGUGAUACAGGCAUGGGGCUGCCGUGACACUUGGUUAUGAGUAAUCCUUGGGACAUAACUAUUUUUUCUUUAAAGCUCUCUUGCCAUAAAUCAAUUGUCUUCAGUUACUUAGUGAUUUGGAAAAUUAUAAGGUAAGAAGAGAAACACUAUGUGGGUUUUCCACUGAAGUGGUA